GAUUGGCUCAGGAUGAACGCUAGCUACAGGCUUAACACAUGCAAGUCGAGGGGCAGCAUGGUCUUAGCUUGCUAAGGCCGAUGGCGACCGGCGCACGGGUGAGUAACACGUAUCCAACCUGCCGUCUACUCUUGGACAGCCUUCUGAAAGGAAGAUUAAUACAAGAUGGCAUCAUGAGUCCGCAUGUUCACAUGAUUAAAGGUAUUCCGGUAGACGAUGGGG
rnacentral:rRNA from 1 species